GGAGCAGUUGGUAGCUCUGCGGUAGGGCGCAUGCUUUACAUGCAUGAUGUCCUGGGUUCAAAUCCCAUCUUCUCCG